UAUAAGCGGAGGAAAAGAAAACAACAGUGAUUCCCUUAGUAGCGGCGAGCGAAACGGGAUAAGCCCAGCACCGAAUCCCUUCCUUGGCAAAUCCGGGAAAGUGAAAUGUGGUGUUAGGGAAGGAUCAAUCAUGCCCUUUGCUUUUGCUUGUGACUCAAGUCCGAUCGAAAGCGGUGGCCUCUCUGCCCAUAGAGGGUGAUAGGCCCGUAGGGUAUGUGCUUUAGCAAUGGAGCGAUCCUUUCCGUGGAGUCGGGUUGCUUGAAAUUGCAGCCCUAAGUGGGAGGUAAACUCCUCCUAAGGCUAAAUACUGCUCAGUAACCGAUAGCGAACAAGUACCGCGAGGGAAAGUUGAAAAGAACUCUGAAGAGAGAGUUCAAGAGUGCGUGAAACUGCUCAGGGGUAAACGGGUGGAACUGCCGAAAGUCGAACUUGAAGAUCUCAGGGCUUUCGAUAGGCUCCGAUUGUGACUGCUUUGGCAACUUGAGCUGAGACUACGUCAGUUGUUUUAGCUCGUUGUCUUUGAUGUGACAUGAUCGUUGAGCUCGUUGAAAGUCUGUAAGGCUUCAUCAGUAGGACGCUGCAACCUUUUAGACUGGUAAUCGGGUAGCCCAGGGGAUUUGCUCUGUGGACACCUUUGCAUGUGCUGUAAAGUAUGUGUAGAGGUGGGCAAGUUGGCGCUCGCAUUUAUUUGCUUGUGUCAGGCCCCUUUGGUUAGUUACUAGUUUACUGUCUGAUUGUUGUCAACGAAUGGUUGCCAAGGCUCGCGAUGUUUAUUCAUUGCUUGAGCUUCGUAAGAUGCUUGUCAGUGCGGCCAGGAUUGAGGUUUUGGUUUGAACCUGUAAUGGGUUCCCAGACUUUGGACAUUCCUGCAAAGGAUUCCGGGCUGUAUACACUUGAUGAGUUUGUCUUGCAGGUAGCUAGUCGUGCAGCGAGUAGGAAUGCUGUUCCCCCCGACCCGUCUUGAAACACGGACCAAGAAGUCUAACUUGUGCGCGAGUCAAUGGGUUAUCAAACCCCACGGCGUAGCGAAAGCGAAGGUCUUGCUUGCGAGACUGAGGGAAGAUCCGCAAUGAAAAACUUGCGGCGCAUUCCCGGGGUACCUGUUGUUGAGUGGCUUCGGCUAUUCCGGCAGGUGCACCUUGAGCGCACAGGUUGGUACCCGAAAGAUGGUGAUCUAUACCCGGCCAGGAUGAAGCCAGGGGAAACUCUGGUGGAAGUCCGCAGCGAUUCUGACGUGCAAAUCGAUCGUCUGAGCUGGGUAUAGGGGCGAAAGACUAAUCGAACCAUCUAGUAGCUGGUUCCCUCCGAAGUUUCCCUCAGGAUAGCUGUCACUCGUGCUUGGGCCAGAUUCUCACCCGGUAAAGCGACUGAUUAGAGGCUUACUGGGCCGCAAUGGCCUAGACCUAUUCUCAAACUUUAAAUGGGUGAGAUGCGUUGGCUCCCUUAACGGUCGAGCCGACGUUUCUUUUAGGAUCUGUGAGUGACUAGUGGGCCACUUUUGGUAAGCAGAACUGGCGCUGUGGGAUGAACCAAACGUCAGGUUAAGGCGCCCGAGUCAACGCGCAUCAGACACCAUUAAAGGCGUCGGUGGCUAAAGACAGCAGGACGGUGGCCAUGGAAGUCGGCAUCCGCUAAGGAGUGUGUAACGACUCACCUGCCGAAGCGACCGGCCCUGAAAAUGGAUGGCGCUGCAGCGUUGAGCCUAUACCUGACCGCCAGGGCAUAUGCAGUUGAGCCUGAGUCGGGUAAUACUGAUUCGGUUCCUGUGUGAGGCUCUGGCGAGUAGGAGGGAGCGCAGUGGUAGCGUAGAAGGGGACUGGGCGUGAGCCCGCCUGGAGCUUCCACUGGUGCAGAUCUUGGUGGUAGUAGCAAAUAUUCCGGAAAGGCCCCGGAGGACUGAGGCGGAGAAAGGUUUCGCGUGAACAGCUGUUGGACGCGAGUCAGUCGAUCCUAAGCUCUAGGGGAAACCCAAAAUGGAGGGGCAGCGAUUGGCUCGUUGUUGAAUAAGCUUUUGAAUAUCUCACUGAAUCAUGUUAGUUUAAUUGCAUGUAAAGUUACCGUUUGAUCGCUGUCUGUGAUCUUGUGUGUACCCUUUACUGAACCACUAACUAUUCUCACUUGGGAAUGCUCCCAACCAAUGGACCCGAUCUUGUCAUUGCCUUGGUAAUAACAGUACUUUUCCUUCAGCCUGGCAUUAGAUGUGGGCUGUUUCAAUAUUUUUGUUGUAACAGUACUUUUCCUUCUGCCAGAGUGGUCGAUGUGGGCUGUUGUUUUUGGUAACAGUACUUUUCCCUCUGCCUGGCAUUAGAUGUGGGCUGUUUCAAUAUUUUUGUUGUAACAGUACUUUUCCUUCUGCCAGAGCGGUCGACGUGGGCUGUUGCACCUGGUAAGGCGAGUUGUUUUGUUCAUGUUGGUUGAGCUGACUGAGGGGAUAGGUCACUGAACACUCCCAACCAAUGGACCCGAUCUUGUCAUUGCCUUGGUAAUAACAGUACUUUUCCUUCUGCCUGGCAUUAGAUGUGGGCUGUUUCAAUAUUUUUGUUGUAACAGUACUUUUCCUUCUGCCAGAGUGGUCGAUGUGGGCUGUUGUUUUUGGUAACAGUACUUUUCCCUCUGCCUGGCAUUAGAUGUGGGCUGUUUCAAUAUUUUUGUUGUAACGGUACUUUUCCUUCUGCCAGAGCGGUCGACGUGGGCUAUUGCACCUGGUAAGGCGAGUUGUUUUGUUCAUGUUGGUUGAGUUGAAGGUGUUUUGGUAAGGUAUAAGUGUGUGUGCAUAAUUGUAUCGCGGGUGAACACUCAGUAAAUGCUGUCUGUGUUUAUGUGUGCUGUGGGCUACAUGUACGUUGUCUGGUGAUGCUCCACAAACGACGCUCCUGACAUUGAUGAACCUGAUAGCUUGCUGUCCCAUGUAAUCGCUCCUGCCGUUUCUUCGAAAUGGGACAGUUGAGUUUAGUUACAUUUUGCGGCACAAGUUGUUCUUUGUUCUCUGUUGGUCGAUUACGUUUUGUUCUGUGUUGAAGAUCCCAUUGAUAUAGUUUACAUUGUGUGUCUGCACGCUUACAUUUGCGCGGGUAUUUGCCGUGAAGGAGACUUAAUAACAUGUUUGAUUGAGCUUGAUUGAUUCCAAUUUUAUGCAACCUGCCGGACAUCGUCCAAGGGCCUAGCGCGGGCUUGAACUUUAACAAAUUUAAACUACAAUUCGAUUGGCGCUCUGCUUUGAGAACUGUUCUAAGUAGACACAGAGGCAUAGUGGCGUGUUUGUGUCGGCUUGCAGUUACUGACUGUAUUGAGCAUCCGAUCUUGAGUUGUUUUAGUUAUAACAGGGACAUUUGAUUUGCCGCUCGAUAUUUUGAGAACUGUUCUAAGUAGACACAGAGGCAUAGUGGCGUGUUUGUGUCGGCUUGCAGUUACUGACUAUAUUGAGAUGGUUCAGAUCGAGAGUUGUAGUUAUAACCUUUAGAUUUGACUGUGCUUGCUGCAGUGCAUUUGUGCUUUUGUCGAUGAUGUGUUUGGUAUGCGUUUGUGUGAAAGGGUACAGUGAGGUGUUUGAGCUAUUUCCAAUUGAAGCAAAUCAAUGUGUACUUCGUUGCAAAUAGAGCGAAAGGGAAUCCGGCCAAAAUUCCGGAACCUGGCAGCGGAACCGAUGACCCGAAUGGGUUGCGGGCCCUUGGGAAGUUCACUUCAUUGUGUUCUUGCCUAGCUCGUCACGGUAACGUGACAAAACCCGGAGACGCUGACGGGGGCCUCUGGAAGAGUUUUCUUUUCUCCAGAAGCAACCGAGGCCCUGGAAACCUCUUGGAGGGAGAUAGGGUUUUGGUUUUUGCGAGGAACGUCGCCAACACGGGGCGGCGUCAGGGGAACUCCCGUCUGGCCCUUGAAAAUCCGGGCGAGGGGCACGUGGAGGUGUCGCGCCAGAUCGUACUUUAUCCGCAGCAGGUCUCCGAGGUGCAUAGCCUCUUGUCGAUAGAAUAAUGUAGGUAAGGGAAGUCGGCAAAUUAGAUCCGUAACUUCGGGAUAAGGAUUGGCUCCGAAGAUCGGGGCGCUGGCCGGGCUUAGUGGCAUUAAUUUGCUUUCUGAGCCAGAGGAGAUGGGUGAGUGCUGCGCUGGCUUCUUAACUGAGGUAGGCGUGGGCGUUCCCUGUUUUCCCGGCCGCCCAAAACGAUCAUACUCGGAACUGGCACGACCAGGGGGAAUCCGACUGUCUAAUUAAAACAAAGCAUUGCGAUUGGCCCCAAAUGGGUGUUAACGCAAUGUGAUUUCUGCCCAGUGCUCUGAAUGUCAAUGUGAAGAAAUUCAACGAAGCGCGGGUUAACGGCGGGAGUAACUAUGACUCUCUUAAGGUAGCCAAAUGCCUCGUCAUCUAAUUAGUGACGCGCAUGAAUGGAUUAACGAGAUUCCCACUGUCCCUACCUACUAUCUAGCGAACCCACAGCCAAGGGAACGGGCUUGGGAAAGUCAGCGGGGAAAGAAGACCCUGUUGAGCUUGACUCUAGUCUGGCAUUGCGAGGAGACGUGAAAGGUGUAGCAUAGGUGGGAGACUGCAGUCUCUGCAGUCGUCAAUGAAAUACCACUACUUUCGUGCGUUUCCUGGCUAACUCAGUUUUACGGGAUUACGGGGGCAGAGGCUGCGUUAGCAUUAACGUGCUGACGAUUGUGCAUUUGCCUUCAUCUUGUGAGCUGGAAGCAGAUAAGUUCGCCCUACUUGUGAGGGCUUGAGCUACCUGUGACCUGAGCUGAGGACAGUGCCAGGCGGGGAGUUUGACUGGGGCGGUACAUCUGUCAAAUGGUAACGCAGGUGUCCCGAGGCCAGCUCAGCGAGGACAGAAACCUCGCAUAGAGCAAAAGGGCAAAAGCUGGCCGGCUCUGGCUUCCCAGUACGAAGGCAGACCGCGAAAGCGUGGCCUAUUGAUCCUCCGGCAGCAAGAAACCUAACGAGUUUUUAGCUAGAGGUGUCAGAAAAGUUACCACAGGGAUAACUGGCUUGUGGCAGCCAAGCGCUCAUAGCGACGCUGCUUUUUGAUCCUUCGAUGUCGGCUCUUCCUAUCAUCGGGACGCAGAAGUCCCCAAGCGUCGGAUUGUUCACCCGCUAACAGGGAACGUGAGCUGGGUUUAGACCGUCGUGAGACAGGUUAGUUUUACCCUACUGACGCAUGCUUUUGUGCUGUGACUCAGGUUUUUACCGGCUUGAGGAGCGGCCAAGAGUUUAUCGUUGCGACGGGAAUCCUGCAUAGUACGAGAGGAACCGCAGGUUCGGACCAAUGGUUCAGCGCUCGGCCGAUAGGCCGUUGGCGCGAAUCUAUCGUCCGCGGGAAAAGGC
rnacentral:rRNA from 1 species